rnacentral:rRNA from 1 species
CGGGGAACUCGGAGACAGGUGCUGCAUGGCUGUCGUCAGCUCGUGUCGUGAGAUGUUGGGUUAAGUCCCGCAACGAGCGCAACCCUUGUCUUUAAUUGCCAGCAUUCAGUUGGGCACUUUAAAGAGACUGCCGGUGUUAAGCCGGAGGAAGUGGGAUGACGUCAAGUCCUCAUGGCCUUUAUGCCCAGGGCUACACACGUGCUACAAUGGGUGGUACAAAGAGAAGCCAACUCGCGAGAGCGCGCCAAUCUCAAAAAGCCAUCCUCAGUUCGGAUUGGAGUCUGCAACUCGACUCCAUGAAGUUGGAAUCGCUAGUAAUCGCGGAUCAGCAUGCCGCGGUGAAUACGGUUCCCGGGCCCU